GGGGAGCCGCAGGGAAACCGAGUCUUAACCGGGCGUUAAGUUGCAGGGUAUAGACCCGAAACCCGGUGAUCUAGCCAUGGGCAGGUUGAAGGUUGGGUAACACUAACUGGAGGACCGAACCGACUAAUGUUGAAAAAUUAGCGGAUGACCUGUGGCUGGGGGUGAAAGGCCAAUCAAACCGGGAGAUAGCUGGUUCUCCCCGAAAGCUAUUUAGGUAGCGCCUCGUGAACUCAUCUUCGGGGGUAGAGCACUGUUUCGGCUAGGGGGUCAUCCCGACUUACCAACCCGAUGCAAACUGCGAAUACCGGAGAAUGUUAUCACGGGAGACACACGGCGGGUGCUAACGUCCGUCGUGAAGAGGGAAACAACCCAGACCGCCAGCUAAGGUCCCAAAGUCAUGGUUAAGUGGGAAACGAUGUGGGAAGGCCCAGACAGCCAGGAUGUUGGCUUAGAAGCAGCCAUCAUUUAAAGAAAGCGUAAUAGCUCACUGGUCGAGUCGGCCUGCGCGGAAGAUGUAACGGGGCUAAACCAUGCACCGAAGCUGCGGCAGCGACGCUUAUGCGUUGUUGGGUAGGGGAGCGUUCUGUAAGCCGUUGAAGGUGGCCUGUGAGGGUUGCUGGAGGUAUCAGAAGUGCGAAUGCUGACAUAAGUAACGAUAAAGCGGGUGAAAAGCCCGCUCGCCGGAAGACCAAGGGUUCCUGUCCAACGUUAAUCGGGGCAGGGUGAGUCGACCCCUAAGGCGAGGCCGAAAGGCGUAGUCGAUGGGAAACAGGUUAAUAUUCCUGUACUCGGUGUUACUGCGAAGGGGGGACGGAGAAGGCUAUGUUGGCCGGGCGACGGUUGUCCCGGUUUAAGCAUGUAGGCGGGUGUUCCAGGUAAAUCCGGAACGCUGUUAACGCUGAGGUGUGAUGACGAGGCACUACGGUGCUGAAGCAACAAAUGCCCUGCUUCCAGGAAAAGCCUCUAAGCAUCAGGUAACAUCAAAUCGUACCCCAAACCGACACAGGUGGUCAGGUAGAGAAUACCAAGGCGCUUGAGAGAACUCGGGUGAAGGAACUAGGCAAAAUGGUGCCGUAACUUCGGGAGAAGGCACGCUGAUGGUAGGUGAAGUGAUUUACUCAUGGAGCUGAAAUCAGUCGAAGAUACCAGCUGGCUGCAACUGUUUAUUAAAAACACAGCACUGUGCAAACACGAAAGUGGACGUAUACGGUGUGACGCCUGCCCGGUGCCGGAAGGUUAAUUGAUGGGGUUAUCCUCGCGGAGAAGCUCUUGAUCGAAGCCCCGGUAAACGGCGGCCGUAACUAUAACGGUCCUAAGGUAGCGAAAUUCCUUGUCGGGUAAGUUCCGACCUGCACGAAUGGCGUAAUGAUGGCCAGGCUGUCUCCACCCGAGACUCAGUGAAAUUGAACUCGCUGUGAAGAUGCAGUGUACCCGCGGCAAGACGGAAAGACCCCGUGAACCUUUACUAUAGCUUGACACUGAACACUGGUCCUUGAUGUGUAGGAUAGGUGGGAGGCUUUGAAGUGUGGACGCCAGUCUGCAUGGAGCCGUCCUUGAAAUACCACCCUUUAAUGGCUGGUGUUCUAACGUGGGCCCGUGAUCCGGGUUGCGGACAGUGUCUGGUGGGUAGUUUGACUGGGGCGGUCUCCUCC
rnacentral:rRNA from 1 species